GUUUACCUCAGCAGUUCAUCUACUAAAAUCAGAAUGAUACAGAAAAGAUUAGCAUAGCCACUGUGCAUGGAAGCCAUGCAAAUUGGUACAUUGUCCAGCAUUUGG